UCCGCCGCUGAGUAGGAGUAUGAGCCCAUACGGCCUGGUGGCGCGCGCCGCAAAAAAAAAAAAGUUGUCUGUGCUCAUCUAGAGGGGGUCGGUAGUCUUCAUAAGAGGCGAGAGAGGAGAAAUGAGUCCACUUAUUUUCUAGGGAAGGAAAAGAAGCGAUCUAGCCAAGGUUCUGGGAGUUAAAACCUUUGCUUGUAAUUCCUCACUGCCCCGAUCCCCAUCUCACCAGACUGCUUCUAGAGAAAGCAGAAUCCACAGGACCAUAGCAUGCUCUAGUCCAGGUGGCGAUGCCAGUGGGAGGGGUGAAAUCCAGAAAGAUCUGCAACGGCACUGAAGACACGGCUCGAAUGUUUGCCAUCUAUCGGCCAUAUGUUCUGCCUAGGUAUUGGAGGGAAGAAAGGUGGCUUCAAAAAUCAAUGGCAGGACUUCCCUCGUGGCGCAGUGGUUAAGAAUCCGCCUGCCAAUGCAGGAGACAUGGGUUCGAGCCCUGGUCCGGGAAGAUCCCACAUGCCGCGGAGCAACUAAGCCCGUGCACCACAACUACUGAACCUGCGCUGUAGAGCCCACGAGCCACAACUACUCAGCCCGUGUGCCACAGCUACUGAAGCCUGCGUGCCUAGAGCCCGUGCUCUGCAACAAGAGAAGCCAUGACAAUGAGAAGUCCGCGCACUGCAACGAAGAGUAGCCCCUGCUCGCCGCAACUAGAGAAAGCCUGCACACAGCAACGAAGACCCAACACAGACAAAAAAAAAAAAGAAAAACUAUACCCAGUAGGGUGGCUAUUAUAAAACACACACACACACACACACACACACACACACACGCAAGAGAGCAAACAAAAAAAGUAAAUAACAGGGGCUUCCCUGGUGGCACAGUGGUUAAGAAUCCGCCUGCCAAUGCAGGGGACACGGGUUCGAGCCCUGGUCCGGGAAGAUCCCACAUGCCGUGGAGCAACUAAGCCCAUGCUCCACAACUACUGAGCCUGUGCCCUAGAGCCCACGAGCCACAACUACUGAAGCCCACGCACCUAGAGCUCAUGCUCUGCAAGGAGAGAAGCCACCUCAAUGAGAAGCCUGUACACCACAACGAUGAGUAGCCCCCACUCGACACAACUAGAGAAAGCCCACGCACAGCAACGAAGACCCAACGCAGCCAAAAAUAAAUAAAUUUAUAUUUUAAAAAAAGUAAAUAACAAGUAUUGGCAAGGAUCUGGAGAAAUUGGGACCUUUGUGCACUGUUGGUUGGAAUGUAAAAUGGUGCAGCCACUAUGGGAAACAGCAUGGAGGUUCCUCAAAAAGUUAAAAAUAAAAUUAGCAUAUGAUCCAGCAAUUCCACUUUUGGGUAUGUGCCCAAAAGAACUGAAAGCAGCCACGGAGCAACUAAGCCUGUGCGCCACAACUACUGAGCCUGCACUCUAGAGCCCGCGAGCCACAACUACUGAGCUCACGUGCCACAACUACUGAAGCCCACGUGCCUAGAGCCCACGCUCCGCAACAAGAGAAGCCACCUCAAUGAGAAGCCUGCGCACUGCAACAAAGAGUAGCCCCCGCUCGCUGCAACUAGAGAAAGCCCGCACGCAGCAACAAAGACCCAACGCAGCCAAAAAUAAAUAAAUAAAUAAUAAAAAUAAAUUAAUUAUUAAAAAAAAACAAAGCAGAAACUCAAAUAUUUAUACACACAUAUUCAUAGCAGCAUUAUUCAAAAUAGUCAAAAGGUGGAAGCAACCCAAGUGUUCAUCAACCGAAGAAUGCAUAAACAAAAUGUGCGCUAUACAUACAAUGGAUUAUUAUUCAGCCUUAAAAAGGAAGGAGGGGCUUCCCUGGUGGCGCAGUGGUUGAGAAUCUGCCUGCCAAUGCAGGGGACACAGGUUCGAGCUCUGGUCUGGGAAGAUCCCACAGGCCGCGGAGCAACUAGGCCUGUGAGCCACAAUUACUGAGCCUGCGCGUCUGGAGCCUGUGCUUCGCAACAGGAGAGGCCGCGACAGUGAGAGGCCCGCGCACCGCGAUGAAGAGUGGCCCCCACUUGCUGCAACUAGAGAAAGCCCUCACACAGAAACGAAGACCCAACACAGCCAUAAAUAAAUAAAUAAAAAUUAAAAAAAAAAGGAAGGAAAAUUUGACACAUGCUACAACAUAGAUGAGACGACGAAAUUAUACUAAGUGAAAUAAGCUAGUCACAAAAGGACAAAUACUGUAUGAUUCCACUUAUAUGAGGUAUCCAGAGUAGUCCAUUCAUGGAGACAAAAAGUAGAAUGGUGGUUGCAAGGGGGUGGAGGAAGGGAGGAAUGAGGAGUUAUUGUUUAAUGGGUACAGAGUUUCAGUUUUGGAAGAAGAAAAAAGGUCUGGAGCUGGAUGGUGGUGAUGGUUGCACAACAGUGUGAAAGUACUUAAUGUCACUGAAUUGUACACCUAAAAUGGUUAAAAUGGUAAAUUUGGGGGUGGGAUGAAUUGGGAGAUUGGGAUUGAAAUCUAUACACUACUGAUACUAUGUAUAAAAUAGAUAACUAAUGAGAACAUACUGUAUAGCCCAGGGAACUCUACUCAGUGUUCUGUGGUGACCUAAAUGGGAAGGAAAUCCAAAAAAGAGGGGAUAUGUGUAUACGUAUAGCUGAUUCACUUUGCUGUACAGCAGAAACUAACACAGCAUUGUAAAUCAACUAUACUCCAAUAAAAGUUAAUUUAAAAAACAAAAAAACAAACAAAAAAUGGUACAAUUUAUGUUAUGUGUAUUUAACCACAAUUUAUAAAAAGUAACUUCUAGUAAGACGUUACCCCUUUCUGACAUGGCAUAGCACAUCUGUGUGCCCUUAUUUUUGUUCUGGGGGCAAUGUUUCUGACAGAAAACAUGGUCUCGAAUGUCUCCUUUAAUAAUUAUGACUUUCUGGUAAUAGACUUUUUCAUUGUAAUUAGUAAAAAAUGUCACAAGAUGUCACUCUUCAGCUGAAAAACUAUUGCAGUUUGGUUCAGUAGCCGAUAACUAUAAGUAAUUCCAGAGCAUCAGAUAAAAGCCUGUAUAUAGUGCUUUGCUCAUACAAAUAUGGUUUUCUGGGAAAGAGAAGGUUUCCAUCUGUGAAAUGUAUUAGUAAGCUACUCUGUUCAUGAAAUUUAUGUUAAUAUUUAUUAACUUCAUUGGUACUAAUUGUUUUUCAGUAUAAAUUGAGCUGGUGUAAUUAAGACAUAACUAACUUUGUAAGUGAUAGGGAAAUACAAAGCUGAGAUGUAAAGAUCAUUGAUCAUUAAAAGUCAGGUGGCUUUACCACUAAAUGAUGUGUGACAUUUGGUAAGUCCUUUAAUCCCUCUGAUUUCACCAGAGUGGUAGAAACAUCCUUUCUUAGGUUGAUAUACACUACCGUAUAUUUACUCUGGGCUAAAACAUAUUUAAGUACAUUCUAAUUCUAAAAUAUUUUGGUUUUUAUAGUAGUAAUCAAAUUGUAACUGUUGAAAUACAAUACCAAUGGGAGUUCAGUAAUAGAAAAUACUGCCCACAAGAAGACAUUAGGAAAUAUAAUGAGACUUCUUGAUGUCCUGAGGGAGUAUUUUAGGAAAAUACUUACUUGUAUUAAACAACUAUAGUCAGAGGUAUAAACUCUUGAAAUAAAAAAGAUCACAUUUAUUACUGAGAACAGUUUUUAAAAGAUAAUGGAAUAUCCUAAAGUGUAAAAGAAAAAUUGCUUUGUUUACAUGUAAAAUUCUUAAGAUUCAAGGACACAUUAAUUCUUAAAGAUUAACCAUUUGAAUUGGUAAUAUUAUACUAUAAUCAAAAUAAUUUUUUAAACUUCUAAUUUUUGUAAGAAGUUUGUAAUCGAGUUAUAAAACCUAAAAACAAUCAAAAGACCAAAUGCUCACCGCUGGAUGAAAUGCUGGACAUUAUAAUGCAUCAAUAAAUGAGGAUAUUACAUUUUUAUUAGUAGUAACAGUUAUUAGGAUUAAGAUUAUUAGGAUGAGAAAAACUAUCAGAAAUGGUGGGUGAAAAUAUAGAACUCAGAAUGAUAUAAAAAAUAGAGUGUAAAUAGUGUCCAGUUAAGGAUAUUGACAGUUGUUUUGUUUCAUUUCAUCUUAUUUAACUCUUAAAACUUAGAUCUUUCUGUUUAACUUUUAUCUUCACAUGAUUAAAUAUGUAAAAGUGGGGGGGACUUCCCUGAUGGUGCAGUGGUUAAGAAUCCGCCUGCCAAUGCAGGGGACACGGGUUCGAGCCCUGGUCCAGGAAGAUCCCACAUGCCGCGGAGCAACUAAGCCCAUGCGCCACAACUACUGAGCCUGAGCUCUAGAGCCCGCAAGCUACAACUACUGAGCCCAUGUGGCACAACUACUAAAGCUCACGCACCUAGAGCCUGUGCUCCACAACAAGAGAAGCCACUGCAAGGAGAAGCCCACGCACAGCCACAAAGAGUAGCCCCCGCUCACCACAACUAGAGAAAGCCCAUGUGCAACAACGAAGACCCAACGCAGCCAAAGAUAAAUAAAUAAAAAUAAAUAAAUUUAAAAAAAAAAAAAAGGAGAGGGGGUGUAGUAGCUAAAGGGUACAGAGUUGCUUUUCGUGGUGAUGAAAGUGUUCUGAGAUUAACUGUGGUGAUAGUUGCACGUAUGUGUGAAUAUAUUAAAAACCAUUGAAUUUUACACUUUAAAUGGGUUAACUGUAUGGUAUAUGAACUAUAUCUCAAUAAAAAGUACGUGAAGGAAGCACACUA